rnacentral:lncRNA from 1 species
ACUAUCCAACUUAAAAAUAAAUAUAACUCUCAAUGUGCAAAUCACUUAAAAAGAAUAUUCACUCCCAGUAGAUUAGUGAGUCAUGUGCUACAAAUAAAAUCUUUCAAUUUAUUCAACUGAGCUUUCAAAACACUUAACGACCUUCAUAGGAUAGAUAUGAACAAGAGCUAAUUCUCAGUAGGGGGACAUGCUUGUAGUUCUUCAACAGAAAUUGGAGGAAUAGGAAUUGGCCUUCCAUCAGUAAGAAUUCUUGAAAUAUCAUCAGUACGGGGACCUGCUCGUAAUUCUUCAACAGAAUUUGAAAUGGGAACAUGAACAUGUUUGACUCUUUCUUUUUCCAUAGUUAAUUCAUAAGUGGAACCUGUAGUAGAGAUAAGACGAGCAUAGCUAGCCAAAACUAUAUGAUUGAUUAGUAUAACUAGUAACAAUAAUGAGCUGAUUCUCACCAAUGAUCUAUCCAUUAUUGUAAAUAUGUUCGGAGGACUCCGGUACAGAUUUGUUGUAAAAUCUGAC